AUCUUUUAAUCGAGAUUUUGCCUUCGGUACAAUUGAGACAGGUGGUGCAUGGUUGUCGUCAGCUCGUGUCGUGAGAUGUUGGGUUAAGUCCCGUAACGAGCGCAACCCUUGUCCUUAGUUACCAGCACGUUAUGGUGGGCACUCUAAGGAGACUGCCGGUGACAAGCCGGAGGAAGGUGGGGAUGACGUCAAGUCAUCAUGGCCCUUACGGCCUGGGCUACACACGUGCUACAAUGGUCGGUACAAAGGGUUGCCAAGCCGCGAGGUGGAGCUAAUCCCAUAAAACCGAUCGUAGUCCGGAUCGCAGUCUGCAACUCGACUGCGUGAAGUCGGAAUCGCUAGUAAUCGUGAAUCAGAAUGUCACGGUGAAUACGUUCCCGGGCCUU
rnacentral:rRNA from 1 species